GGGGGGGGGGGGGGGGGGGGGGGGGGCGGGGGGGGCGGGCGGGGGGGCGAGGAGCGUGGGGGGCUGGGGGUGGCGGCGGGCGGGUGGGUGACCCGUGGAUAACCUCCCUAUAAGACUGGGGUAACUUCGGGCGACCGGGGCUGAUACCGGAUAAUAUUAUGAACCGCAUGGUUCCAAAGUGCAAGACGGUCUUGCUUUCACUUAUAGAUGGAUCCGCGCUGCAUUAGCUAGUUGGUAAUGUAACGGCUUACCAAGUCAACGAUGCAUAUCCGACCUCAGAGGGUGAUCGGCCACACUGGAAGUGAGAGACGGUCCAGACUCCUAAGGGAGGGAGGAGUAGGGAAGCUUCCGCAAUGGGCGCAAGACUGAAGGAGCAACGCCGCGUGAGUGAUGAAGGUCUUCGGAUCGUAAAACUCUGUUAUUAGGGAAGAACAUAUGUGUAAGUAACUGUGCACAGCUUGACGGUACAUAAACAGAAAGCUAAGGCUCACUACGUG
rnacentral:rRNA from 1 species